ACAUGAAAAAUGGGUUAAUUGACAAAUAAUAUGGAUUGGGAUCUCUCCAUUUCUUUUCUCUCCAUUUACAUCAAGUUCUAUCUUAGACUAGGGACACAUGGCAUGAAUUAAAUUUAACAACUAAGAUUUAAUUGAUUAAAAUAUGGCCCUAACCAUGAUUUACAUAAUUAACAACUUAUUCAUAAAUAUAUUAAAGUAUUUUUUCUUCCUUACUAUUUUAUUUUUCUACACAGUAAUAUCUUUUCUCCUUUAUCAGUUUACCCGUUCCUUUCUCCUUCUUGGCCCCAAAACAAUUUUUGGUGCAAAUAUUUUUGCAGCACCCGAAAAUCAUGGCUGCAGAUAUCUUUCAGGUUUUUAUCGUAGAAAUCAGUCUUCUGAAGAUAUCUUAGAUAAAAAAAUCAACAGAAAAGAACACAAGAAGAGGGACAAAAAACGGAGAACGAGACAACAAGACGUGGAGCUUCAUUUUUGCUGGAUUUAAAAAUGACUAUCUCGCCAGAUUUAUGGAGACUGAGUCCCAAAAUGAGCAUAUGGAUAUUUCUCAUUCGUUUGGGCCAAUAAAACUUGGAAUGGAAUUUGAUUCAGAUGAGCAUGCAUUUGAAUAUUACAAUGAAUAUGCUGCUACAAUUGGUUUUAGUGUUAGAAAGGAAUAUGCAAACAGAAGUAAAAUCCCUGGAUGUGUGACUUCAAGAAACUUUACAUGUUAUAAAGAAGGUCAUAGAGGACAAGACAAGAGAGAUCACAAAAACUAUACUCGUGACAAAAGAAAAGAAAAUCUACGAUAUGGAGUGGCUCGUAGCUUGGUAAAUUAUUUUGAAAAAAGAGUAAUAGAAGAUCCAUCUUUUCGGUUUUCUUCAAAAUUAGUAACAAAUAUUUUCUGGGCUGAUGCUAAAUGAUAAGGGAUUUCCAGAUUUAUCGAGAUGUAUCGUUCGACACAACAUAUAGAACAAAUAAGGAGUACCGUCCAUUGGCUCUGUUUGUUGGAUUAAAUAAUCACAAGGAGAUUGUUGUAUUUGGUGCUGCCCUUUUAUAUGAUGAAACAGCUGAAGCAUUUGAAUGGCUUUUUAAUGUAUCUUUUUGGAGCUAUGUCUGCAGAUAAGCCACAAACAUUCAUCACAGAUCAAGAUCCCGCAAUUAGUUUAGCAGUCUCUUUUGUGAUGAAACAAACAUAUCAUGAUUUAAACAAGUACUCUCAAGCUGGAUAGCCAAUAUCAUGAAAUUGCACAAAUUGCGUUAUGGUGAUAACUCUGUAACCACAAAUAUGAGUGCUGUGUUCAUUAUUUUAACUCUUGAAGCUGUGAAUGUGUGUUAUUAGCUUUCGUUGUUUUGUUUUAGCGAAUCGACUGACAGUAUGUUUA